CUGUUCCUCAGUCUUCAGGUCCCUUUCUGUCUUUUGAGAGGUAACAGUUGGUAGUUUUGGCCAGAUAGAGAGGAGAGAUGAGAAGGAAAUGAUUCAUUGAUCUAUCCAGAUGUCUUCAGAACACAGUGUUGCUAAAGUUACAGGUUCAUCAGCUGGCUGAGCAUGAAGCGGGGAGAAAUCAACAAGUUCUCAAGACAGCUUCACACCCAUCAAGAGCCUUUGAAGUUUAACAACAAAGCCUGACUCUAAGGGCAGAAGUAUUGGGCCACAUGUUGAUGUGAUCAGAAAUAUUAGCCAAUUCAUUAAGUUCAGAAGCAGCAUGGCCAAAGUUCAUCCUUAAUCUCCAUCCCAUUUCCUGGUAUCCUGCCAGAAGAGAUCCUGACUCCAGCAGCCCAUCAGUUACCAAAGGUAAAGACAACACCAGGGUUUAUGCUGGAGAAUGCAGUAUUUUAUUUUCAGGGGGAUUAGGAGCUACAGAUAUUUUGUGUCUGAUCUUUUUAGCUUCAGGUCUACUCUGUCUGCCAGUUUGAAGGUCAGAUGCUAAUCUUCAAAGCCAUCAGCAAGUUUUAAUCUCUUUAAUAUUGGCAGAGCAUCGCUAUCUGCACUAUAGCUAAAGAGCUGCAUCCUCUCAGAAAAGCAGCUCAGAGUGUCCAGGACAAAGUACACUAAGGCUGAAGACAGAUGGUGUUGGCAGAGGGGCUUCACUACUGGGUAAUCUCCUCAAGGAGGUCACACACUCAGCAGUCCUGAACCAUAAAACCUUGUCUUCUUUCCAAAGUUACCUGUUUUCCCCCUGGAAUGUUCCACUCAUCUUUCUGAUACAAUUUUUUUUUUCUUUUUUCAGUAUCAGAAACAGAACUGUGAGUUAAUGUUACUCAGAUUUAUUUACAAUCACGAAUGAGCAAACCUGCUGUCAUUGAAAUG